UUGACGGGGCCCGCACAAGCGGUGGAGUAUGUGGUUUAAUUCGACGCAACGCGCAGAACCUUACCUAGACUUGACAUCCCGGGGAUUUUCUGGAAACAGAGAAGUGCUUUAGCAAUAAAGAACCCGGUGACAGGUGCUGCAUGGCUGUCGUCAGCUCGUGUCGUGAGAUGUUGGGUUAAGUCCCGCAACGAGCGCAACCCUCGCCUUUAGUUGCCAGCAUUCAGUUGGGCACUCUAGAGGGACUGCCGGUGUCAAACCGGAGGAAGGUGGGGAUGACGUCAAGUCCUCAUGGCCUUUAUGUCUAGGGCUACACACGUACUACAAUGGCCGGUACAAAGGGCAGCCACUCAGCGAUGAGGCGCUAAUCCCAUAAAGCCGGUCUUAGUCCGGAUCGCAGUCUGCAACUCGACUGCGUGAAGUUGGAAUCGCUAGUAAUCGUAGAUCAGCAUGCUACGGUGAAUACGUUCCCGGGCCUU
rnacentral:rRNA from 1 species